rnacentral:rRNA from 1 species
AUUGAACGCUGGCGGCAUGCCUUACACAUGCAAGUCGAACGGCAGCACGGGUGCUUGCACCUGGUGGCGAGUGGCGAACGGGUGAGUAAUACAUCGGAACAUGUCCUGUAGUGGGGGAUAGCCCGGCGAAAGCCGGAUUAAUACCGCAUACGAUCUACGGAUGAAAGCGGGGGACCUUCUGGCCUCGCGCUAUAGGGUUGGCCGAUGGCUGAUUAGCUAGUUGGUGGGGUAAAGGCCUACCAAGGCGACGAUCAGUAGCUGGUCUGAGAGGACGACCAGCCACACUGGGACUGAGACACGGCCCAGACUCCUACGGGAGGCAGCAGUGGGGAAUUUUGGACAAUGGGCGAAAGCCUGAUCCAGCAAUGCCGCGUGUGUGAAGAAGGCCUUCGGGUUGUAAAGCACUUUUGUCCGGAAAGAAAUACUUGGCCCUAAUACGGUCGGGGGAUGACGGUACCGGAAGAAUAAGCACCGGCUAACUACGUG